rnacentral:hammerhead_ribozyme from 1 species
GCAGACGAGUCCCAAACAGGACGAAACAGCUGUCC